AACGUGUUUUGUUGUGCUCUUAUGCAAAAUUGGAACAAUAGAGAUUAGCAUGGUUCCUGAGCAAUGAUGACAUGAAAUUAAUGAAGCACUCCACCUUAAA
rnacentral:snRNA from 1 species